CGGACGGGUGAGUAAUGUCUGGGAAACUGCCCGAUGGAGGGGGAUAACUACUGGAAACGGUAGCUAAUACCGCAUAACGUCGCAAGACCAAAGAGGGGGACCUUGGGCCUCUUGCCAUCGGAUGUGCCCAGAUGGGAUUAGCUAGUAGGUGGGGUAACGGCUCACCUAGGCGACGAUCCCUAGCUGGUCUGAGAGGAUGACCAGCCACACUGGAACUGAGACACGGUCCAG
rnacentral:rRNA from 1 species